GUGCUCGCUUCAGCAGCGCGUGUACUAAAAUUGGAAAGAUACAGAGAAGAUCAGCAUGGUCCCUGAACAAGGGCGACAUGAAAA
ensembl:snRNA U6 U6 spliceosomal RNA